rnacentral:rRNA from 1 species
UUAAGCGACUAAGCGUACACGGUGGAUGCCCUGGCAGUCAGAGGCGAUGAAGGACGUGCUAAUCUGCGAAAAGCGCCGGCGAGGUGAUAUGAACCUUUGACCCGGCGAUGUCCGAAUGGGGAAACCCAGUGUGUUCCGACACACUAUCGUUAACUGAAUACAUAGGUUAACGAGGCGAACCGGGGGAACUGAAACAUCUAAGUACCCCGAGGAAAAGAAAUCAACCGAGAUUCCCCCAGUAGCGGCGAGCGAACGGGGAGCAGCCCAGAGUCUGAAUCAGCUUGUGUGUUAGUGGAAGCGUCUGGAAAGUCGCACGGUACAGGGUGACAGUCCCGUACACGAAAGCACACAGGUUGUGAACUCGAAGAGUAGGGCGGGACACGUGGUAUCCUGUCUGAAUAUGGGGGGACCAUCCUCCAAGGCUAAAUACUCCUGACUGACCGAUAGUGAACCAGUACCGUGAGGGAAAGGCGAAAAGAACCCCGGCGAGGGGAGUGAAAAAGAACCUGAAACCGUGUACGUACAAGCAGUGGGAGCCUCUUUUAUGGGGUGACUGCGUACCUUUUGUAUAAUGGGUCAGCGACUUAUAUUCUGUAGCAAGGUUAACCGUAUAGGGGAGCCGAAGGGAAACCGAGUCUUAACUGGGCGUUAAGUUGCAGGGUAUAGACCCGAAACCCGGUGAUCUAGCCAUGGGCAGGUUGAAGGUUGGGUAACACUAACUGGAGGACCGAACCGACUAAUGUUGAAAAAUUAGCGGAUGACUUGUGGCUGGGGGUGAAAGGCCAAUCAAACCGGGAGAUAGCUGGUUCUCCCCGAAAGCUAUUUAGGUAGCGCCUCGUGAACUCAUCUUCGGGGGUAGAGCACUGUUUCGGCUAGGGGGCCAUCCCGGCUUACCAACCCGAUGCAAACUACGAAUACCGAAGAAUGUUAUCACGGGAGACACACGGCGGGUGCUAACGUCCGUCGUGAAGAGGGAAACAACCCAGACCGCCAGCUAAGGUCCCAAAGUCAUGGUUAAGUGGGAAACGAUGUGGGAAGGCACAGACAGCCAGGAUGUUGGCUUAGAAGCAGCCAUCAUUUAAAGAAAGCGUAAUAGCUCACUGGUCGAGUCGGCCUGCGCGGAAGAUGUAACGGGGCUAAACCAUGCACCGAAGCUGCGGCAGCGACGCUUAUGCGUUGUUGGGUAGGGGAGCGUUCUGUAAGCCGUUGAAGGUGUCCUGUGAGGGGUGCUGGAGGUAUCAGAAGUGCGAAUGCUGACAUAAGUAACGAUAAAGCGGGUGAAAAGCCCGCUCGCCGGAAGACCAAGGGUUCCUGUCCAACGUUAAUCGGGGCAGGGUGAGUCGACCCCUAAGGCGAGGCCGAAAGGCGUAGUCGAUGGGAAACAGGUUAAUAUUCCUGUACUUGGUGUUACUGCGAAGGGGGGACGGAGAAGGCUAUGUUAGCCGGGCGACGGUUGUCCCGGUUUAAGCAUGUAGGCGGAACGAUUAGGUAAAUCCGGUCGUUUAUUAACGCUGAGGUGUGAUGACGAGGCACUACGGUGCUGAAGUAACAAAUGCCCUGCUUCCAGGAAAAGCCUCUAAGCAUCAGGUAACACGAAAUCGUACCCCAAACCGACACAGGUGGUCAGGUAGAGAAUACCAAGGCGCUUGAGAGAACUCGGGUGAAGGAACUAGGCAAAAUGGUGCCGUAACUUCGGGAGAAGGCACGCUGAUAUGUAGGUGAAGCCCCUGCGGGUGGAGCUGAAAUCAGUCGAAGAUACCAGCUGGCUGCAACUGUUUAUUAAAAACACAGCACUGUGCAAACACGAAAGUGGACGUAUACGGUGUGACGCCUGCCCGGUGCCGGAAGGUUAAUUGAUGGGGUUAGCGGUAACGCGAAGCUCUUGAUCGAAGCCCCGGUAAACGGCGGCCGUAACUAUAACGGUCCUAAGGUAGCGAAAUUCCUUGUCGGGUAAGUUCCGACCUGCACGAAUGGCGUAAUGAUGGCCAGGCUGUCUCCACCCGAGACUCAGUGAAAUUGAACUCGCUGUGAAGAUGCAGUGUACCCGCGGCAAGACGGAAAGACCCCGUGAACCUUUACUAUAGCUUGACACUGAACACUGGUCCUUGAUGUGUAGGAUAGGUGGGAGGCUUUGAAGCGUGGACGCCAGUCUGCGUGGAGCCAACCUUGAAAUACCACCCUUUAAUGGCUGGUGUUCUAACGUAGACCCGUAAUCCGGGUUGCGGACAGUGUCUGGUGGGUAGUUUGACUGGGGCGGUCUCCUCCCAAAGAGUAACGGAGGAGCACGAAGGUUAGCUAAUCCUGGUCGGACAUCAGGAGGUUAGUGCAAUGGCAUAAGCUAGCUUGACUGCGAGAGUGACGGCUCGAGCAGGUGCGAAAGCAGGUCAUAGUGAUCCGGUGGUUCUGAAUGGAAGGGCCAUCGCUCAACGGAUAAAAGGUACUCCGGGGAUAACAGGCUGAUACCGCCCAAGAGUUCAUAUCGACGGCGGUGUUUGGCACCUCGAUGUCGGCUCAUCACAUCCUGGGGCUGAAGUAGGUCCCAAGGGUAUGGCUGUUCGCCAUUUAAAGUGGUACGCGAGCUGGGUUUAGAACGUCGUGAGACAGUUCGGUCCCUAUCUGCCGUGGGCGCUGGAGAAUUGAGGGGGGCUGCUCCUAGUACGAGAGGACCGGAGUGGACGCAUCACUGGUGUUCGGGUUGUCAUGCCAAUGGCACUGCCCGGUAGCUAAAUGCGGAAGAGAUAAGUGCUGAAAGCAUCUAAGCACGAAACUUGCCCCGAGAUGAGUUCUCCCUGAGACUUUAAGUCUCCUGAAGGAACGUUGAAGACUACGACGUUGAUAGGUCGGGUGUGUAAGCGCAGCGAUGCGUUGAGCUAACCGAUACUAAUGAACCGUGAGGCUUAACCU